GGGGUUGUGGCUCAGUGGUAGAGCUCUUGCCUUGCACACAUGAGGCACUGGUUUGAUCCUCAGCACCA
rnacentral:tRNA from 1 species